GACACUGAACAUUGAGCCUUGAUGUGUAGGAUAGGUGGGAGGCUUUGAAGCGUGGACGCCAGUCUGCGUGGAGCCAACCUUGAAAUACCACCCUUUAAUGUUUGAUGUUCUAACGUUGGCCCCUAAUCGGGGUUGCGGACAGUGUCUGGUGGGUAGUUUGACUGGGGCGGUCUCCUCCCAAAGCGUAACGGAGGAGCACGAAGGUUAGCUAAUCCUGGUCGGACAUCAGGAGGUUAGUGCAAUGGCAUAAG
rnacentral:rRNA from 1 species